AUUGAACGCUGGCGGCAUGCCUUACACAUGCAAGUCGAACGGUAACGGGCCUUCGGGUGCCGACGAGUGGCGAACGGGUGAGUAAUGCAUCGGAACGUACCUUUCAGUGGGGGAUAACGUAGCGAAAGUUACGCUAAUACCGCAUAUUCUGUGAGCAGGAAAGCAGGGGAUCGCAAGACCUUGCGCUGAUUGAGCGGCCGAUGUCAGAUUAGCUAGUUGGUGAGGUAAAGGCUCACCAAGGCGACGAUCUGUAGCGGGUCUGAGAGGAUGAUCCGCCACACUGGAACUGAGACACGGUCCAGACUCCUACGGGAGGCAGCAGUGGGGAAUUUUGGACAAUGGGCGCAAGCCUGAUCCAGCCAUGCCGCGUGAGUGAAGAAGGCCUUCGGGUUGUAAAGCUCUUUCGGCGGGGAAGAAAUGGCGCUUUCUAAUACAGAGCGUCGAUGACGGUACCCGCAUAAGAAGCACCGGCUAACUACGUG
rnacentral:rRNA from 1 species